rnacentral:rRNA from 1 species
CCUANGGGUGGCAGCAGUGGGGAAUAUUGGACAAUGGGCGAAAGCCUGAUCCAGCAAUACCGCGUGUGUGAAGAAGGCCUUAGGGUUGUAAAGCACUUUCAAUUGGGAGGAAAAAACAAUAGUUAAUACCUGUUGUCUUGACAUUACCUUUAGAAGAAGCACCGGCUAACUCCGUGCCAGCAGCCGCGGUAAUACGGAGGGUGCGAGCGUUAAUCGGAAUUACUGGGCGUAAAGAGUGCGUAGGCGGCUCGUUAAGUCAGAUGUGAAAGCCCUGGGCUCAACCUGGGAACUGCAUUUGAAACUGGCGAGCUAGAGUUGAGUAGAGGUAAGUGGAAUUUCAGGUGUAGCGGUGAAAUGCGUAGAUAUCUGAAGGAACACCAGUGGCGAAGGCGACUUACUGGACUCAAACUGACGCUGAGGUACGAAAGCGUGGGUAGCAAACAGGAUUAGAUACCCCUNUANUC